rnacentral:rRNA from 1 species
AGGUAGGGAUACCCGCUGAACUUAANCAUAUCAUAA